UAGGGAAUCUUCCGCAAUGGACGCAAGUCUGACGGAGCAACGCCGCGUGAGUGAAGAAGGAUUUCGGUUCGUAAAACUCUGUUGUUAGAGAAGAACAGCGCAUAGAGUAACUGUUAUGCGUGUGACGGUAUCUAACCAGAAAGCCACGGCUAACUACGUGCCAGCAGCCGCGGUAAUACGUAGGUGGCAAGCGUUGUCCGGAUUUAUUGGGCGUAAAGGGUACGCAGGCGGUUUAAUAAGUCGAAUGUUAAAGAUCGGGGCUCAACCCCGUAAAGCAUUGGAAACUGAUAAACUUGAGUAGUGGAGAGGAAAGUGGAAUUCCUAGUGUAGUGGUGAAAUACGUAGAUAUUAGGAGGAAUACCAGUAGCGAAGGCGACUUUCUGGACACAAACUGACGCUGAGGUACGAAAGCGUGGGGAGCAAACAGG
rnacentral:rRNA from 1 species